rnacentral:rRNA from 1 species
CUACGGGGGGCAGCAGUGGGGAAUAUUGCACAAUGGGCGCAAGCCUGAUGCAGCCAUGCCGCGUGUAUGAAGAAGGCCUUCGGGUUGUAAAGUACUUUCAGCGGGGAGGAAGGGAGUAAAGUUAAUACCUUUGCUCAUUGACGUUACCCGCAGAAGAAGCACCGGCUAACUCCGUGCCAGCAGCCGCGGUAAUACGGAGGGUGCAAGCGUUAAUCGGAAUUACUGGGCGUAAAGCGCACGCAGGCGGUUUGUUAAGUCAGAUGUGAAAUCCCCGGGCUCAACCUGGGAACUGCAUCUGAUACUGGCAAGCUUGGGUCUCGUAGAGGGGGGUAGAAUUCCAGGUGUAGCGGUGAAAUGCGUAGAGAUCUGGCGGAAUACCGGUGGCGAAGGCGGCCCCCUGGACGAAGACUGACGCUCAGGUGCGAAAGCGUGGGGAGCAAACAGGAUUAGAUACCCGUGUAGUC